GAUGAACGCUGGCGGCGUGCCUAAUACAUGCAAGUCGAGCGAACAGACGAGGAGCUUGCUCCUCUGACGUUAGCGGCGGACGGGUGAGUAACACGUGGAUAACCUACCUAUAAGACUGGGAUAACUUCGGGAAACCGGAGCUAAUACCGGAUAACAUGUUGAACCGCAUGGUUCAACAGUGAAAGACGGUCUUGCUGUCACUUAUAGAUGGAUCCGCGCCGCAUUAGCUAGUUGGUAAGGUAACGGCUUACCAAGGCAACGAUGCGUAGCCGACCUGAGAGGGUGAUCGGCCACACUGGAACUGAGACACGGUCCAGACUCCUACGGGAGGCAGCAGUAGGGAAUCUUCCGCAAUGGGCGAAAGCCUGACGGAGCAACUCCGCGUGAGUGAAGAAGGUCUUCGGAUCGUAAAACUCUGUUAUUAGGGAAGAACAAAUGUGUAAGUAACUAUGCACGUCUUGACGGUACCUAAUCAGAAAGCCACGGCUAACUACGUG
rnacentral:rRNA from 1 species